rnacentral:rRNA from 1 species
UACGAAGGGUGCAAGCGUUACUCGGAAUUACUGGGCGUAAAGCGUGCGUAGGUGGUUCGUUAAGUCUGAUGUGAAAGCCCUGGGCUCAACCUGGGAAUGGCAUUGGAUACUGGCGACCUAGAGUGCGGUAGAGGGUGGCGGAAUUCCCGGUGUAGCAGUGAAAUGCGUAGAUAUCGGGAGGAACAUCCGUGGCGAAGGCGGCCACCUGGACCAGCACUGACACUGAGGCGCGACAGCGUGGGGAGCAAACAGG